UUGGUAGAUGAAAGGAAGGUAGAGUGGUUGUUAAAAGUUAGUGUAAAUGGCAUAAGGUAGUGUAUUAAAGCGCUUAGGGAGCAUAGUCACCAUUUCUGGCCAAAAUAGUCCUACCCGUCCCUUUAGCCUACUUUACAACCCGCAAAGACCUAUUUGAUCCUAACCUUAGCAUUCUGAUAUUAGUGGAGCAUUACACUAAGGGCAAGCAUAUGGUCAUCAGUUGUAAUCUAAGAAUUCUUUGUGAGAGUGAGAGCAAGCAAGUUCUUAUACCCAUAUUUCUGAAAAAUGCAAAACUAUGAGUGAUUAUGGGUAAC
rnacentral:lncRNA from 1 species